AUGUUUCGGAAGGGAAAUUAAAUUUUAAUCAGAUUUUCAAUAGCUUUUAGUCUUUUUUUUCCUCGCUAUUAACAUAACGGACAGACAAACUGACAGACAAAAUAAAAAAAGCGCCUUUAAUCCUUUUAUAUAUAUACAUAUAUUAAGUCUAACUAGCCCAUCAAAUGAAAUGCUAAAAAAACAAACUCGGUGCACCAAUGUCUAUGAUCACUCGAGAAGCU